AAAGGAAACAUGUAUCCAAAAAAAGAAUAAAUAAAAAAGAAAAUAAAAGGAACAAAAGCAUACGAAGUACUUAGAUCAUAGCCUUAUUACAAGCCUUACACAUAUAGUAACAAAAAGGGAAAGAAGCCCCAACAAUGAAAAGUAGCUUCGUAUCCUCCGCCAUUAUUUCCCCAAAAAGAAAUAAAAAAAACCCACCAAAUCUUUCAUAGACAUAUCCAAUUUCAACGAUUAAAAAAUAAUGGAAAAAAUAUUCUUUUCAUGAUUAUCUUCAUGAUAAUUUCGGAGAAUUUUGUUCUAAAAUAAGGGAAUUUUCGAAACUGAACCAGCCUCAAGAUUUGAGAGGGAAAAUUUUAUUUCAUCUUUAUCAAAUUUUCCUCCCAAAAUUUUACCCUAAGCAAUUUCAAAAAUUAAUCUUACUGAACUUUUGGACGAGCGAAGCAAAUCGAAGUAAAAUAGCGAUUGGAAUUAGCGGCCGAAUUUGAUCUGUCAGAGUACAUAUCACUGUCCAAGGUGUCAAUCAAGCACUCUGAAAUGAACACAUUCAAACACAUUCAAAAAGUGAUGAAGUUCCUAUUACUGAAGUGGCAAAAGAAACUCUGUCAAAAAUUAAGGAGCUUCUAGUGCAACAUAAAGAUGGAGAAAUACAUAUGACAGAUGAAGAAAUCUAUGCUAAAGUUAAGCCCAUUGGUAAGCGUGGUCGUCAUCGUAGCAAUGGAGUAAGUCCUUAUAUUACAUCAUUAUAUGAGACAUUUAGUGAAGGAGAAAAGUUACGCAAAGAAGCUGAUGAGGCAAAGAAUGAGGCAAUAGAGGCUAAAAAAGAGGCAAAAGAAGCCAAUGUGAAAAAUAAGGCCCUGACUAAAAAGAUGGGAGGACUUCAGAAGGAAAUGGAGGUUAUGAAAGGUUUCAUAGGAAACAUUUUGAACCAUCUAGGUUAUGAUUUGUGUGAAAUAAAUAUGGAUGAGGUUAAUGAAGGUGAGGAUGAAGAUGAGGGUGUUGAUGAGGAUGAGGAUGAAGAAAUGCAAGCAGAUCAAGAGGAGUAGUACUACUUAUUUUUAAAUCAUUGAUAUUAUACCAUGAAGAUGGCUAGAGAAGUAGAGAUCGAAUUAAAAGCAAUUUGAAAGAAACCUGGUGCCGCUGGCUCUUGGAGUGUUUGAAAAAGGACCUUGGUGAUGUUGCUGAAGGUGGUGGUUGGACAUUCAUGUCUGACAGACAAAAGUGGUAGUCUUUGCCCAAAUUUGCUGAUUUAAAGGAACUAAUAUGUUAGUUAUUUGUGCACUAAUGUAAUGACCUUAGUAUGUCCAACAGGGUUUGCUUGAAGCCUUUGAAUUUCAAGUUCCAUUUGUUGAAAAGAAGUAUUGUGUGAGGCAUAUAUGGGCCAAUUUCAAGUUUCAAUUUAGUGGAUCAACCUUCAAAGAGCUUUUCUGGAAUGUUUCUAGGGCUAUAACAUUAGUGAGUCACUAAACUUAUGUGAUCAAGUGAAUCUGAUGAACUGAGUUGAAUGUUUGAUUUAUUCCAAUUAGUUUAAAGUGAGUGUGUUUACUGUGAGGCUUAAUUUUCAUUACCGUCAAGCAUGAUAUAUCUCUACAAAAAAACAAGGCACAUUUUGACGCUUUUUGUACAUAU